AUACCUUUCUCGGCCUUUUGGCUAUGAUCAAGUCUAGUAACUGUUCUUAUCAGUUUAAUAUUUGAUAUGUUGGCCAUUGGUCCACACGAUAUUAACUCUAUUUUUUGAGGAGGAAGGCUCAUCAAGGUAGCUUGCUGCCUGGGCCUUCAUGCGUUGCCUAUGCAUUGCACUGCUGCUAAUCAAGUAUAAUCAUU
rfam:Capsicum annuum cultivar Zunla-1 unplaced genomic scaffold scaffold258, whole genome shotgun sequence